ACUUCCCGUGGUUUUCGGUUGAACCGAAACCUGGCCGUUGGCUGAGCGAGCGCGGGGUGUUUGGGAUGCGGCACGGCGAGGGGGAGCAGGCUUGGCUCGGGCGUAGGGAAUUGGUUUUUUUGUUUUAGCUAUCCAGGUUGUGACUGGUUUACAUAAUUACACGAUUAAGCCAUCAUUGUAGGAAAGGCUUUGCAGGAGAAAAAUGUCUUAACUGGAGGUCUUUGAGACAGAAAAACCCUGCCUCAGCCCUUGGGUCCUGAGAGUCGCGUUUCUUCUCCCCUUCGCUUAAAUAUGUAAACCAGAAUCAUUAUGUUUGGUUCAUGGAACGGAGGAAAAAAAUCCGUGUGCAGGGUCGAGACUGUCGUGGCGGAAGCCGCAGCACCCGGGAGGCAGGUGGGGAGAAAAAACGGGACCUGCUGCCGGGGACCCCUCCCGCUUUCUGGCAGUUUUCUAUUCAGCGUCCUCGGCUGUGAGAAAACAUCCCAGAUGCUGAAACCAAUAGUCUUAGCCCAGAAUCUCAAACGCCGUGGCAAAGAGGGAGUGACGACGGCCUGUGGAAAAACCUGAGGAGUUUUGGGCUUAGCGCCUUCAUGUAGAGGGGACGUGGAGGCGGGGAGGGCGUUCUAGGGUCGGCUGCGUAAUUAUACGAGGCACUGGAAAGUGAUGGGUUAGUGUCCUUGGAGUAGACCCCUGGGUUUUAUUGAACUGAUCUGAAAGGCUGGGCCCUGAGCCACACAGGGGACCUGUCAAACAGCUUCAAGCGGAAGAUGGGGCUCACGGGACUGGACUCUCUCUGCAGCCAGCUGUAAUUAACACAAAAGCAGAAGAGUUUGGGUAGAUUAUAGAAUGCCAGCUUUGAACAUCUUUUGGGGGACAGGGCACUCUGGGAGACCAAGUUCUUAGACACCAUAAAAUCAAAAAUAGACACCUCUUUGUAGAGGAGUCCAGAUGUCUAAAGAGGAAAUAUGUAAUAGGCUGAUGUUUCUUUUGUUUUUUGUUUGUUUGUUUUUUGAAAAGUUAAAAUACUAAGUUUAUAAAGUGAAAAAGUUACAGUAAGCUAAGGUUGACUUAUUGGAAAAAAUGUGCUUAUACUAUGGAAUGAGACCACCACUUCUCCUGUUGUCCCUCCCAGCUUCUUCUCCACCACCUCCCCUUUUCCCUAGUUUAUAAGACAGGAGAAAAGUGAGACAGCAAAAAGUUAGAAAGAAACAGAAGUAAGAUAAAUAGCUAGACGACCUUGGCGCCACCACCCGGCCUUGGUGGUUAAAAUAAUAAUAAUAAUGUUAACCCCUGACCAAAACUACUUGUGUUAUCUGUAAGUUCCAGACAUUGUAUGAGAAAGCGCUGUAAAACUUUUUGUUCUGUUAGCCGAUGCAUGUAGCCCCCAGUCACGUUCCCCACGCUUGCUCCAUCUAUCACAACCGUUUCACAUGGACCCCCCCCUUCAAGUUGUAAGCCCUUAAAAGGGCUAGGAAUUUCUUUUUUGGGGAGCUCGGCUUUUAAGAUGCGAGUCUGCCAACGCUCUCGGCCGAAUAAACUUCUUCCUUCUU
rnacentral:lncRNA from 10 species